UACGUAGGGGGCAAGCGUUGUCCGGAUUUAUUGGGCGUAAAGAGCGUGUAGGCGGCCAUGUAGGUCCGUUGUGAAAACUCGAGGCUCAACCUCGAGACGCCGAUGGAAACCAUGUGGCUAGAGUCCGGAAGAGGAGACUGGAAUUCCUGGUGUAGCAGUGAAAUGCGUAGAUAUCUGGAGGAACACCGGUGGCGAAGGCGGCAUCCUGGACCAAUACUGACACUGAGGAGCGAAAGCCAGGGGAGCAAACGGG
rnacentral:rRNA from 1 species